GCCGCGAUCGCAUAACCUGGUAUUGCGCAGUUAGUGUGCUAGCGUGGGAUUGCUAAUCCUGUUUCCUUCGGGAUAUCUGGGUUCAAAUCCCAGUCGCGGCG
rnacentral:tRNA from 1 species